CAAGGUAAAAUAAGAACAAUAAAAACUAAAUUAUAGACAAUCCUUACGUUCCAUUAAUGCGCAGUAUUGCAGAACGUAAUUUUUAUGGACCAUGAAUUCAUUUUUUCAAUACAUUGCUUCAAAAACCAAGAUAUGAUAAUCAUAUCAAAGGCUACUUAAGUGUCUCACAAACCCUGAUAGAAAAUCAAAACAAAUUAAGGGAAUGAAAUUAAAAGAGGACUUCUGUUAUUCAAAAAAAUUUAGACAGAAAAAUAAUUAUGUUAAAUAUGAAUAAACAAAUACAUAUUCUAUAGCUAACAUUAAACUACACACUGUAAAACAAUGAACCAGAAAUAAAAUAAGUUUCAAAGGUAGAAAUAGUCACUCAGAGCUGAUAGGUCAUCAGAAAAAAUGUGUGAGGAAAAAGAUUACUGACAUUAGUUAUUUUUCAGGAUCUAUAUUUUACCAUGGGUGUACAGAUAUCUCAGUUCAGAUACUUGCUGCCACAGUAGAACUACUUCCACAGUGAGUAUCUGGGGUUUGAGUAUGCCCCUACAUUGUGCAGAGCGCAUCAAUAAGCACUGGUAUACUCUAAAGUUUUCUUGUCUGAAUUUAAGGAAAGCAAUAUGAGUAAAACAGUAUCUAGACUGUUACAUGCAAUUCACAUGGGAAUAUUUAACAAAAUUGUAUUUUGGACAAGUGACUUUCCUUCCAUGCAUUUUGUUUUAACUACGCAGAGAAAGCAUACUGCAACAUUAGGUCCUUCCCACAUCUCAACAAUAUUGCCCAAAACAAACAGCAUAUUGUGAUGUGAAGGCAAAGCAAAGACAAGAAUCCUGCUGGUUACCCACACACUGUAUAGUCUAUGCAUUUCUAUGAUCAAAGGUGCCUGUAUAAAUACAAAAGACACGCCAGUAAUGGUUGGUAAUUUGCUCUAUUAAGGUGAAGAGUACCAUGCAGACAGAACAUUCCCCAGCCUAUUCAACUGUUUUGGUGACAGUCACAAUAGCAACUAAAGUACAAAGGAGGUACACAGAUACCAGAGACCUCACUAACACUUCUCUGCCUUUUUGAGUCAUAAUGACUGCAGUAGCCAGCAUCUGCCAAAAUAGGUUAAUAGAAUUUAUAACCAUUUCAUUACUGGGUGCGGUCACCUUUGACAUAGAGAUUGACUAUACAGCAUGUAUAUAACUUCCUAAUUCUUCCUCUACCAGGAUCAGAAGAAAAAGACCCAGCUUCCUCUUAAGUACUGGAAUCCUCUGAUGUUCUUAAAGGUGUCUGUGUGGGGAAAGGAACUUACUAAAGGAUAAAGAUCACAUGAAUUCAAGUGAAAGAAAACAGAUUUUUAAGUGCAGGAAUGGAAGAACAACUGUAAAUCAAAAGAAACUGACAAGAAUCCUAGAAUCACAAGGUUGGAAAGGACCUACAAGAUCAUCUAGUCCAGCCGUCCUCCCAUCACCAGUACUACCCACUAAGCUACUGAACCAUCUCUCAUAGCUCCUCAUCAAGAUGCCUCUUGAACACUGCCAGGGACGGCAACUCCACCACCUCCCUGGGCAGCCAUUCCAGUGCCUGACUGCUCUCUGAGAGAAAAUUUUUUUCUUUAUGUCUAAUCUAAAUCUCCUCUGGCACAAUGUGUUUAGAACAAGAAGUUAGGUUUACUUUUAAAAAUAUAUAUAUUUUUUUGAAUCUAGGGGAAAACUGGAAGCUCUAUGAACUAUUGUAAUAUAAAAGAAAGCUUGUCUGGUUCACACCUUCUUCUAAGAUGUAAGUUAUAAUCCUGGUCUUGAAGAGUAACAGGUUCAAUCAAACUCCAGCUGCCUUCUUUAUGUGGCAUGCAAACAUUUUUCACUCAUAUCAUACAACAUCACCACCACCAAAUCUGGCAGUUAAAAAAAGAAAUAUGUACAGAAAUAUUUCUUGUAUUAACUAAACUUGACACAGUUAGCUUCUUUGCUAUGCACAAAGUUUGCAGAGAUCCCACAGAUUUUAUGAAUUACUCCAGUGAGAGGAGUUUUAGGAGGGACAGUUUGUAAUUUGAGAACGUUUAGUUGCAGUUCAGAGUACACCAAACUAAGUUAAGAGAGCCUCACUGCUUAUACAGUAGACACUGGAUUGAAUGGAUUAAUUAUGUACUCAAAAGUUGGUUAGGUGAUAAGGCCUGCAAAUCAGAAGCUAAAUAAUUUUUGCUCAUUAAUUUACUAUUCCCCUCAUUGCUACUUUACAUUUUUUUAAUUUUUUUAAUUUUAUUUAUUUAUUUAAGAUCAAGUUAUUACUGUUGGCAGCAAAAACUUACUCAGAUUUUGAGCCCAUUAACUUUUAAAUACAAACUCCCUACCAUAGUGGUACACUGUCAAAACCUGGCGCUCAGGAUUUUUUUCUUUUAGGGAACUGAGGGUAUAAUGGUACAAAUACAGUAAAUAAUUAACAUCAAAUUAUCCCGCUGAAGACACUUUUGAUUGCUUGAGGUAAUUAGUAAAGCUUAAAGUUGUAGUGAGCAUCAUCUUAAAUAUAACAAAUGAAAGCAUGACAAAUUGCAGAUGAUGAAUUUACAUAAAAAACUCCACAAGACCAAAUAAUAAUUAGUUCACAUGGUGCAACCUACCGUGUGUCAACUUAUAAACAGUUCACUUUUUAAUAUUCAAACAGUAAGGGAAAAUGCAAUAUAGUUCUCAAGUGCCACAGCAAAGAGCAAACGCACCAUUAACACAGCUGUUAAUGACAAACAAAAGGAAAAAACGGUAACAUAUAAAUGAAAAAAUAAAUAAAAGCCUAUAAGAGAGAAAUGAGAAAAUAAAUUACUAGUGUUGCUUAAAAGAAGGAAGACAAAAGAAUGAGCAAACAGUUCGCAAUUCUCUGCCUGUUAAAGACAGUUGCUGGUAACAAUUGAUAACAAAUAUUCUCUUUGGAGAAUAUGUUUCAGAAACCUUUUUAAAGAAGAGUAUGCAAUAAAUAUUACUAUGUAGAAAUGAAACAAACUCUCAGCAAACCCAUUACACCACCUUCAUUCCACAAAUCGUAUAUAUCCCUGCUUAAUCUGUUCGAUUUUCAGCAGGAAAUACCUCAUUAUUCCAUAUAGCCUGACUGCUCCCUGAGUAUGUAUAUUUAGCAUAAUUACAGCCAGUAAAAUCACUUUUGAGGGUGUCUUUUUUAUAUAUACAGAGUAAAAAUAGGCAUUUCUAUGUAAGACUCAGUACACAGUUUCUUCCAUGUGGGCUUUCUUUUUUUUUUUCUUUAGAAUCCCAAUAUACCUCACUGCAUCUAUAUCCUGUGGAAAAAUUAAAUUGAUAUGCACAUCUUCUCUUAAGAUACAUAGGAGAAAAAAAAAAUGAAUAAGAAUCACAGUAUCGCUAACAAAGUAAUAAUAAGCUGAUACGAGCUACAAACAAAAAUUCAAGAGCUUUCAAAUAAAAUAUCCUAAAUCCCUGGUUUGAUAUUUCACAUGCUGUUCUACAGCUGUCCAAAUUCAUGGCAAAAGAAGCCUGAAAACAGAGCAGGGUCACAUAAACAAUAUCCAUCAAAUCUGAAUCAUCUCUCCAUAUGAAGCACCAGUAGAACACUAUAGUAUGAUUUAUUCUCUCCCAUUUAAGUGCCUUUUCUAAAAUGGUUAGAAAAAUUGUAGGGAAGACAUUUUCCUAUUCCAUCUCUCUGAACCAGCUUGCAAGACCAAGGCACAGCAAUGAGACCUAAAAUACUUCUAAUAUAUAAUACAGCACAAAAGAAUACACAAGAAAGUCAGAUAACAACAACAACAAAAUGUACAUGGGAAACGAUCCCAAAACAUUAAGUGCAACUUCCUGCUUAUUCUAAAGAGAUAAUCAGGAAUAGGAAAUAUGCAACUGAUGUAACUAAAGUUUGUUUCAUGUUUUUCGAGUUCCUGAGUUUAGAGUUUUGUGAGGGUACUAUCUGCUACCCUGUUUGUAAAACAGCUGUCUGAAUUGUAGUCUGAUGCUUUAUUUCCAUAAUUAUUUUAUUCUUCUUGCUCACAUUUCUCUACUUUUUAAAAAGCCUGGAUUGAUUUAGACACCUAAACCCUACCUGAAAAAUUUGACUAAAAUUUUAUGUUUUUAAAGUACAACUGAACUAAAUUCACAAAAAAAAAAAAAAAAAAAAAAUUCACAAUGAAGAGUUACAGUAAUAAGCUACUAAAUUCUCGUGCUAGGCACACAAACUUCCUGAGCAGAAUAUAACUACACUACAUCAUUGCAGACACAUCCAAAAGGAGCAUGCGUAUGCAAAAUAAUAAUAACAAAAAUAAGAAACUUGUUUGAUUGUUCCCAGGAGUACAUCUUUCACUCUAUUAUUUUAGCUUCUCCUAAAUAAAAAAGAAAAAAACUGCAGUAGAAAUGAAAAUCAAACCAUUUUGAAUAAAUAUGAAAAAAUUUAUGUUAAAAGUUAUAAAUAUUUUAGCAUAUAUGUAACUAUAACACUAAAGAAGAUCAUUAUGCAUUGGGCAAAUGAACACAAUCACAAAAUGUUUGUAGUUACAUGACAUUAAAAACAUGGUUGAACAGAUGAACAGAAAAAAUGAAGAUUACCUUUCCAUUUUCUCAAAGUCACAGGCUGCUAAUCAUUUUAGACCCUGAACAGUCUUGAGAGCAAUUCAGUUAACAAUAACCAAAGUCUACAAAGCAUGCAGCUUAUGCAACAGAAGUAGUACAGAAAAUAUCAAAGAUGUAACAAGGACAGAGGAACAUGUUGGGGUUCCCCCCAACCAUGCUGUGAUAUGAGUCAUGGGACUCAGUGGCUGUGCAUGUUUCCACUACAUUGCAAUGGAUGGGGAAAAUAUAUUGUAACUGAGUAGCAUGCAGGCCAGUCAAUCUCAAAAGUGAUCAUAUAUACGUAUGAUUCUUUUAGAUAACCUGUGUAAAUGUGCUGACACGUUGCUCUGCCUGGUUAAAAAGCACCAGAGCUGCAUUCUUGACUGAUCCAGCUUGGUUUUACUCCUGUGAGAAGAAUGGUACGCAAUGAAGUUAAAACACGGUACCCUUUGGGUUGUUUGGGUUCUGGAAACAGUACAAGUAUGGAUUGACACUCAUUUAAAUAUGUGCUUCUGAGACACAUUACACAUUUUCAAAACAUAACAUUUAUUACUGAUGUUUAGAGUUUUAGGAAUAUCCAAGGACAUACUGAAAAAGAUAAAAUUAGCAGGAUAUCUGAGGCUCAUAAGUUUAACUUUGGCCUGAAACGUAAAGAAAAGUUACUCCUAAUCUUCAGUACAUCCUACAUGUGUAUCUAGGAUACAAAUUCAGAAAGAAGCCAUGUGACAAAAGGAAACAAAACAGAAUUCAAUUGUACUGGGUCAAACAUGAAAACUCAUGGGUAAAUAAUAUCAUCAAUAGCUUAAAGUGCAAUAUAGAUUGCAAUAGACUUGUUCAUCAGUUCUUAAAUACAGAACAGUUAAGAACCAAGUGCCCACAACUUCUGCAUAAUUUGCAAGUAAGACGUAGAUUUAUCAUUUAUCAGAAUGGGAGAAGAAUUCCUGAAUUCAUCAGACAUUCCUUCCACAAAACCAGGAUAUAUUUAAACAUACAAAGGCCAGCAUCCUUCAUCUUGAUUAACAGCAAGUAAAAGAUGGAGCAGCUGUUCCACAGAUAUUAUAGCUUCCCUACAAUGCAAAAUUAAUACUAUAAGUUAUGAGUACAUGUUUGUUUUUAAGGGGCGUCUUGUUAACCUAAGGUCUCUGUUGAGAGGUCAACAUAAUGCAUAGAGAAACAGAAUCCUCAAAAAGCAGAUGGGGAAAAAAAAAAAAUAAAAAAAUCAGACGUUUGCUAUUUCAAUAGCUUAUUUCCUGACAAAUGCAAUAAAAUUACUCAUUAUAUUCUACAUUAAAAGAAACACUUUAAGAGUCACCUUAUAACACCUUUCAAAUGAAAUUUGAUUAGACUCUGCUGCAACAAACUCAUUUCCAAAAUUAAUUGGAAAGAAUAAGGUCAAAUUCAUUGCCAACAUAAACACUCAAACCAAGAAAAAGAAAACAACAAAAACACCAAAAAAAUCUAGACAUAGCAAUCUAGACUGGAGCAGGGAUGUCUGCAUCAGCAGCGACACUCCUAAAGCCGCUUCAGUUUAAGUUAAAGCAGAUGUCUUUGAAGUGGCAGCUGCAAAAUGCCCACAAACAAAAAUUAAAUAUUUUCAUUAGCAGUUAUGUUUUUCCUCUUUUUUUUAUAUGUCAUUUUCACUUUAUAAUACUAACACUGUUCUAAUGGCUUUUCCUCAUAAUGUAAAUUCAGAACUGAAAAACUGUUACUGGUAUAAUUAGCUUCAGUUAGUACCUUGUUAGCUUAUCCUGUACAAAGCUGAAUUCAGUGGGUGUUAGAAAUCCGAUGCAAAUAGCAUUUAUAUAUGUAUAUACAUUUAUAUAUAUAUAUAUUUUAAGAUGUCUAUUAAUUGUUUUUUAACAGCAGUUUACUUUCAUCCUUACUUCAUGGAAACACUAUGCUCAUAUAAAAUCAGUGUCCUUUGUCUGCUUAUUCUGUACAUAUUAAUUCUUCUAUCCACCUGAAAAAUUUGGAAAAAGACUGUUUUUCACAACUCUUUUAUAAGUGGUUUCAAAUGUCUUUAUAUAAUUUUGCCUUUAGCUCCUUGUUUCUCAAUUCACAAUUAAUUCUCAGUCCAGUAAUCUGAAAUUAUAAUCAUUAUCUAUUUGCAACAAGGAAGUACAGCUACAAGAAAGCGGGAAGUGUUUCAUGACAGAAGAUCACAACAACUCAUUCAUAUAAAAUGGAAGUCAUUUAAAUCUUACCUCCUUGCUUUCCUCCAAAUCUGAGUCACUACUAAACUCUUCUGUAUUUAGAUGUUCAAAGUCAGAUUCUCCAACAGCUAUCGGUACUGUAACAGUAAGGCUUGGAUUGUUUAUGAACAAUGGAUAGUCACUGCUUCCUACAACACCAGCUGUUCCAUUCUCAUUGUUGUGGUAAGUUGUAUCUUUCUUUAUUUCAGCAAUGGUACAGUUGGAAAUGCAAUGGUGUCUUUCAUCAUUAAUCUGAUCUGUUGCUGUUCUUUCAUUUGCAGCCACUUGUUUCCUCCAGCAAGAUUUUUGGAUAUAUUCACCUACUUUUUGCUUCACAUAAGCUAUUCCCUUCUGAAUUCUUGCAACAGCUAUCUGUAAAUUAUUCAUUUCAUUAUCAUCCUCAGUAGGAGAAAGGCUGUCUGAACUAAAUGAACUCAGCAGCAAGGCCAGAAAAAGGUUCAGUACCUGAAAACAAAGAAUAUACACCUGGGUUUCUUAGUUCGUAUCUUUCUUCUAUCACCAAGUAUAAACAACUUAGUUUUCAUGUUCUCUUCCACUGCAUGAUUCUGGAAAUUCAAUAGUAAAUAAAAUGGAAAUACAGUGUAAGCAGAGCACCUGCUCUACACACAAUGCAGUUUCUUUUUGAUAAAAGUGAUACAGUAAUAUAAGCUACAAAACAUUAGCUCUCAUCAUCUUCCCACCUUAAAAUAGAAUAAAUUUCAGGUUUUUUAUAAUAGUCCAGGGUUCAAAAAGACUCAAAAGGUAUUGGAUAGAGCAGUAUCCAAUUAACUUGUAGAAUAGCAGCUCUUAAGGUAUUCAGACCAAGAUCUUCUAAGCAGCUCUGAAGACAGAGUAAAACUAAGCUGUUGGGAACAGUGAGUUAAUAAAUAUAAAACAUAUUUUAAAAGACAAAUUUAUACCUGGGAAUGUACAAACUGUACUGAUGCUUUCCUCUUUCAGAGAGAAAGAAGUUACUGAUUUUAAAACUUUUGUAAAUAGCAGUUAAGAAUUGGAAAGAAAAUGUGCAGUGUUUGAACCUGCGUUUUAAGCAAUAUUACUGCCUUCCUAUUCAAAUUUCCUUUCCCCCACUGUUUGAAAUGUCAAAAGUAAGCAGGGUUCAAAAUUGAUUAAACUUCAGAGUCACAGAAUUUUAAAGCAGCCUUUUGGACAGAAAAGAGCAGGAAAAAAGAAAAAGAGAACAACUAGCUAUAUGUAAAUUCACGUGAUGCCUCCACUGAUUAAGAAGGAAAGGACCUGAUAAGUCUGUUUCUGACAAUAGCAAACUCCCAUCCAAGGUGAAUAUUUGUGGCGCCUAUGCUACUCUAAGUAACUAGAUUAGUCCACAAAACCCUGAACACAUGAUGUGUGUCCUUCUAACUCAUAUCCUCUGAAUUUUACUUUGAGAGAUCCAUCCUCCAUUUCGAGGAUUUUACUUAGGAUCAGAAAUAUAACAUCAGCAUCGAUAUUCACAGCAUUCAAGAUCAUAAAAAAACAUAUUUAAGUAACACAUAUAAUGCUACAAAACAGCUUAAUUUCUAGUUUCAUUAUCAUUCUUUCUCUACAUUAAUUCACUAUUUAUUUUGGCUACAUACCACUAGGUUUCCAAUCACCAUGACCAUCAUGAAGACAGUAAGGCACAUAGGCUGGCCAGCAACCUCCAUGCAGUCCCACAUUGUUUCUAUCCAUUCUCCACACAGCACUCGGAAUACAAUCAAGAAAGAGUGGAAAAAAUCAUGCAUGUGCCAGCGUGGAAGUUCACAGUCACUGGAGAUCUUGCAGACACAUUCCUUGUAGCUUUUCCCAAACAGCUGCAUCCCAACCACAGCAAAAAUGAACACAAUGAUGGCCAGCACCAGGGUCAAAUUGCCCAAAGCUCCCACUGAGUUGCCAAUAAUCUUAAUCAGCAUAUUUAGAGUUGGCCAGGAUUUUGCCAGUUUAAAAACUCGAAGCUGAAAAAUGACACAGACAUUAUUUGUAGUAGUUAGAAAAAUGCUAUAGAAAUAUAUUAUAAUAAAGUAUUCAUUUUUCUGAAGGGGAAAAGACUGACCCUUUAAAGAUUAAGUAAUUUAUGAAAUUUAUAAAACCUACAUUUCAGAAGAAAAAUUACACUUUUGGUAACUUUCAGAUAUGGCAUCAAACAAGACUACAAAAAUUUAUUUACAUCCUCUCUCAAUAUAUGGUAAAAAAAAAAAACAGUUUUAACGUAACAUCAGUAAUAUAUUAGCAUAUGAAUGGUACAAUUCUAUUUGCAUACAUACAAUUAAAAUUUGGAACACUACACAUAAUGCAUUAGCAGAUAUCAUUUAAUUAUUAAUUUAUUUACCAAUCUGAAUGACCGCAGAACAGAUAAUCCAUCCACGUUUGCCAGAAAAAGCUCCACCAAACUAAGGGUAACUAUAACACUAUCGAAAAUAUUCCAGCCAACUUGGAAAUAAUAAAAAGGAUCCAUGGCAAUUAUUUUGAGAACCAUUUCUGCGGCAAAAAUUCCAGUAAAAACCUAGAAGAAGAACGUGUAUUACUAACUUAUAAAUGACUACAAAUUAGCUGAACCAGAAGACAAAGAACAACAUAUAAUGACAGCGCUCUUACAGCUGAAUGCCAGUAAGAAAAAAUAUCACAAAGAUAAUCAAAACGAGCUGCAGUGCAAUUCUAUUAACUUUCAGUUAAACUGAGAUACAUUUAGUAUCUUGUGAAGAACAAACCAUAUCUAAUGCAACUCCUGUUCAUUCCCCACAUGCACUACAUCUAAGUAAAGGGGUAUUUCCCAGCACGAUAGAUGCUCUUGCCACAAUGAAAGCUCCUUUAACUAACAUGUAGAAAACAUAUGAAAUGAUCACAAAGUGGAGAGUGAUAUGCUAUUAAAUCUGUUCUACAGAAUUCACAGUGACAAUCUGCAUGCCUCCUCUUUGCUAACUGCCAAAAAGGUCAGUUCUGUCAAGGCUCAUGUUUGAAGCAAAACUUUUCUGCUCCUGACAGGGUACAGAGGCAGUAUACAAUGCUUCUGAAAAGAGGACAAUUGUAUUUAUUAUAAGUAGGCCCACCUGCAUCUAUAGAACCACAUCAACAUGUUUUACUAGGAAGAUAAAUUCUAUUUAAAAAAAAUAAAUUCAAGAAUAUUCGAUAGUCUUUCAAAGCAUAUUCCAAUGUUGCCAUCAUGUUUUCAACAUUUUGAAGAUGAAAUUCAGGUCUGUACACAGCUCCUUGGUCAUAAUCUGUAGAUUUGUUCAGAUGAGGUGCUCAAGAUGCUCUUCGCCUGUGUAUGCACGGCCAUCCAGAACAUGGCUUAUCUUUCACAUCACUGCUGAAAUGCACCAUCCACUGUUUCACUGUGCACACAUCCACUGGCUGGUCUCCACAAACACUCAGAAAACACUCAUGAAUGGCAAUGGGUGCAAUGUUUGUUCACAUGGGGGAAAUCAGCUACACACCUUUGUUUCAUACUCCCAUGUCAUACUGCCCGUUUGCUGCUACAUGUCACAAGCAACAAGAUGUAAUGAAAUAAUGAUGGAAAGAUUCAAACUUUACUACUAUAUCAACAUCAUCUGCUACUGAUCUUGUGGGCCAAUAUAAAAAAGAGUAAAGGCAUUAUUUUUGGAGCAACCCUCUCAUUAAAGAUGCUCACAGUAAAAAGGAUCUAAUUUAGCACAACUAAUUCUUGUAAUACUGAAUAAAAUCAAAUCAGAUUUCUUUUUUUUAAUCAUCCAAAAUCUGGUCAAUGAAAACUUUUUGCAGGAAUGUCAGUAUGGAAACUAUACUCUUUAAAAUAAGUAUUAUUAUAUUAUAUGUAUUAUUUAUAGACAACACUUAGUACAAUUAAACCUAAAGCUUUUUUUUUUUUUUUUGUGAGAUGAUAAUAAUACUUUCUCCUUUAAAAAGAAUUCAUUUUCAUUUGAUUUUAUGUUCAGAUAGCAUCAAAUAAUAUAGUUUGAUGGACUUACCUGAUUUCCUACUUUAAGUGUGUUGUUAAAAGUAUCUGUCAUUGGAUAAUGCUCCAUGGCCAUAAACAGUGUGUUUAAAAUUAUGCAAAUAGUGAUAGCCAGAUCAACAAGUGGAUCCAUUACAAUAAAUGAAACUACACUCUUCACUCUUAUCCAAAGCUCACAACAAUUCCAAAUUAAGUAUGUGUGGGCAAACUUGUACCAGCAGGGCGGACAUUUUUGUCUGGAUUCUUCAAGUUCUGGAGGAGAAAAAAAAAAAAGAAAAAAAAAAGAAAACAGAACAAACAAGUUGCGAAUAAAGUUUAGUAAGAUAUAGUUGCAGACUGAAAUUGUAUUACAAGACUAGAAGAAAAACAUUUAAGAAUUUUUAUCCAAAAAUUGAAAAAGUUGUCUUAUAACAGCCUUAGUUUCAAAAUGUAUCAUUAUAUUUAGAGAUAAUUACACAGUAAAACUUCAACUUCACAAUCAUCUCAAACGUCAUUAUUUUCAAGGGAAGUAAUAUUAAUUUCUGUUUUUGAAAACUAAUCAAGCUUUUUCAAGAGUAUCAUUACUAAAAAUGUCACUACUCCAAAUAAUCCUACAAAAAAAAAAAAUAAAAAAAUCCCUCUCUUGUUUAACUAAGGCCUAAUAUUUAUUUUCUCAUGUGA